rnacentral:misc_RNA from 1 species
GAUGAAGAACGCAGCGAAAUGCGAUACGUAAUGUGAAUUGCAGAAUUCAGUGAAUCAUCGAAUCUUUGAACGCAUAUUGCGCUCUCUGGUAUUCCGGAGAGCAUGCUUGUUUGAGUAUCAGUAAACACCUCAACUCCCUUUUCUUUUUUGAAAUUGGAGCUGGACUUGAGUGAUCCCAACGCUUUCUUCCAAGAAAGUGGCGGGUUGCUUGAAAUGCAGGUGCAGCUGAACUUUUCUCUGAGCUAUAAGCAUAUCUAUUUAGUCUGCCUAAAAAACAGAUUAUUACCUUUGCUGCAGCUAACAUAAAGGAGACUAGUUCUUGUGCUGACUGAUGCAGGAUUCACAGAGGCAGCUUCGGCUGACUUUGUAAACUCGAUCUCAAAUCAAGUAAGACUACCCGCUGAACUUAAGCAUAUCAAUAAGCGGAGGA